rnacentral:rRNA from 1 species
CUGACCGUAAACGAUGCCAACUAGCGAUCCGACGGUGGCUCUUAGGCCCUGUUGGGGAGCUUCCCGGAAACGAAAGUCUUCCGGUUCCGGGGGAAGUAUGGUUGCAAAGCUGAAACUUAAAGGAAUUGACGGAAGGGCACCACCAGGAGUGGAGCCUGCGGCUUAAUUUGACUCAACACGGGAAAACUCACCCGGCCCGGACACCGUGAGGAUUGACAGAUUGAUAGCUUUUUCAUGAUUCGGUGGUUGGUGGUGCAUGGCCGUUCUUAGUUCGUGGAUCGAUUUGUCUGGUUUAUUCCGAUAACGAGCGAGACUCCAGCCUACUAACUAGUGCGGGCAUUGUCUCUGUGCUUGUCACUUCUUAGAGGGAUUGGCUGCGCCUAGCGGCACGAAACGGAGCAAUAACAGGUCUGUGAUGCCCUUAGAUGUCCGGGGCUGCACGCGCGCUACACUGGCAAAGGCAGCGUGCUUGUCCGCCUCCGAAAGGAGCCGGUAAACCCUUGAAAAUUUGCCGUGAUUGGGAUCGGAAAUUGCAAUUAUUUUCCGUGAACGAGGAAUUCCUAGUAAGUGCGAGUCAUCAGCUCGCGUUG